UAUGUGAUAAAGAUCACUUGUAAAUGAAAACUUUGGAGGUUACAGAAGAAGUAAAUGUCAGAAAUGAAGGAAAAUAAUAGCAGGUAAGAGACCACUAAUUAGAAGUCGAGCAUCUUGGAGGAUGAAAUUAUGCCAUAAUUUUCUUCCCUUGUGCAGAGUGUCUGUCUUCUUUGGGAUCUCUUCAACUGGGCUAAGCUUCUGUUUUCACAGGAACAACUAAAAAAGAGUUCAGGGACUAAUUCUCAUGGAAAGUCUUGAGACUGAACCAGUAUAGUGUUUCUAAAAGACCCCAGAAAUAAAGUGGAGUGAGAGCUAAAGAAAGAGUCUUAUCUUCUAUUUCUACAUGUUGUCCAGGGUCGUUUUUGAUGUCUUGAGGGGAUCCUAUCAGCAGGAGAUACAGAGAGACUCCUACUGACAUCAGCCUUCAUGCACACAUAUGAAAGGAGAAACCAUGUAGCUGAUCCAGCCUGGAGACCAUCGAUGACAGCCUGGAUGAUGGACACAGG
rnacentral:lncRNA from 1 species